CCUGCACGCCGCCCGCCCCCAAUCGUGCAGCCGCCCUGCUCCUGGUCGCCCGCAACCGUGCCGUCCGUGUGGCCGCCGCUGCUCCCACCGUCGGGGCCGCCUCCACCUGCUCUCCCCGCGACCCAGCCUCCCCCCUGCUCCCAAGCACUGCAUCAAAGCCGCCCUCUGCUCCCACUGACCGAGCCGGCCAUCAGAUCCAGCGCGUUCCCGGUGCUGCAAGGGAACGACGACCAAGACCACGCCCUCCUUUGCUCCAGCAGGUCAAGCGCAGCACAUUCCUCACAACACUCUUGUUGAACAGGCAGUGCUGGAAUGCUCUCAAAUGCUGAUGAAAUGAUGCUCAAAUGGUGCUGAAUCGAGAGCAUUGACACGUGAAGAGGUAUGCAAUUUAAUCUCUUUUGGCCCCUUCUAUGAUGUUGGUCAAGCUCCGCCACUGCCCUGGUCUUUGCUUUUGGAUCUGCCCAUAGUGAUAGGGAGAAUCCUACCAGCAUUUAGGACUAACAAGGUGCAGGUAUGAAGCUCCUAAUUCUUGUCUAGCUCCGCCACUGGUCACCCCUCCUUGUUGGUACAAGCUCCGCCACUGAGUAGCCUCCCAUUACUGGGACUACUGCAAGGUGCAGACAUGAAGCACCCCAAGCUCUGCCACUGAGUAGCACCCCGUUUGUUGGGCCUACUGCAAGGUGCAGACAUGAAGCACCCCUUCUAUGAUCUUGGUCAAGCUCUGCCACUGAGUAGCAUGCCUUUUAUGAUCUUGGUCAAGCUCUGCCACUGAGUAGCCUCCCAUUACUGGGACUACUGCAAGGUGCAGACAUGAAGCACCCCAAGCUCCGCCACUGGUCCUACUACAAGGCGCAGACAUGAAGCACCCCUUCUAUGAUGUUGGUGAAGCUCCGCCACUGAGUAGCCUCCCAUUUAGUGGGACUACCGCAAGGUGCAGACAUGAAGCACCCCGUCUAAGAUGUUGGUCAAGCUCAGCCACUGCUUGGCAUGUCAUGGUGCAGCAAAUGUUGGGUCAUGUUUGCUUGGCUGGGUGGGGUGGGCCCACCCAGCCAAGCUGAGUCGACCAUGAAGUGUAAUUAUAUCUUUAAUGUGGGGACAACGAAGUCUUUUCUCAAUGUAUUUAUUUUUAUGAGAGGAGCCGCUCCUCCCCCUGCCCCAA